AUAGGUAAGAUGAACGCUGAGUGCACCAGUUCUCAAUGGAUCACUGAAGUUAAGCAACUUUGGGAGUGGUUUGUAUCCGCAUGGGUGACCAUCAAGGCAAUCGCGUGCUGACUUCUU
rnacentral:rRNA from 1 species